rnacentral:rRNA from 1 species
AUUGAACGCUGGCGGCAUGCUUUAUACAUGCAAGUCGUGCGGCAGCGCGGGGGCAACUCUGGCGGCGAGCGGCGAACGGGUGAGUAAUACAUAGGAACGUAUCCUGAAAUGGGGGAUAGCGUCGGCGAAAGCCGGAUUAAUACCGCAUACGCUCCACGGAGGAAAGCAGGGGAUCGCAAGACCUUGCGUUUCUGGAGCGGCCUAUGUCUGAUUAGCUAGUGGCGGGGUAAUAGCCCACCAAGGCGACGAUCAGUAGCUGGUCUGAGAGGAUGAUCAGCCACACUGGGACUGAGACACGGCCCAGACUCCUACGGAGGCAGCAGUAGGGAAUUUUGGACAAUGGGGGCAACCCUGAUCCAGCCAUGCC